AGUAAUGAACAAGGAAAUAAAAUGGAGGAUAAGGAAUAAGAGAACUUGUGCCCCAUGUGUACAAUUGUGUCAUUGUUACAAUGUCCAUUUAGCUGCACAUUUUGAAAAAGUAUUUGCAGAGAAAUUAAAAAAAUACUGUUUAAUUGUUUCACUCGACAUCUUGGUGAAAUGGCAUAUGGUAUUAUAAGAUUCAUGCUGAUAUGUAGAGCCAUAAAAAUCAAACUAGGCCAAUCCUAGCUUUGUGCAAAGAGGCAUUUGUAAGUGAAGUCCUGAAUGAGCGAGGAAGUGACAAUAAGUGCAGUUGAUCCAGUAACACUUGUACAAUAGGUUUUAAAAUCAGAACUAAAUAAUAGACUCCAUUUUAAAAGAUUGAAGAAGCCAAGUCCAGAAUCCAGAAGCUAAGUCCAAAGCUGUCAGUAAACCCUAUUUGUGAGGUUAUGGGUUGUUGGUUGAGUUGUAUUUUUAACAUUAAAUUUCAGUAUGUUAUUAAAGAGCUCCUUCAUGCGCCUCAGUCCAAAUUUAUACAAGUAAGAUACUAAUAUAAUGCACAUGUCAGAAUGUUGCAGUAUUCCACAACUUUUAUAGAUAAUUAAGGUGUUAAGACAAAUCACUCUCUAACAAUAUUAUAUUUAUUUGAAAUAAUAAAUUGGGCUAUUGGGAAUUUUUUGCUUAAUGGAGGUGAAUGCCUGAGUACUGUCACAAACAAGAAAUAUUAACACACAGAUGUUUCAGUAUGAACAUAUACUGCAGAAAGCAUUCAGCUCCCUCCACUUUUUCCACACUUUGUGGUGUUGUAGAUUUAUUUCAAAAUGGAUCGAAUUGAUUCUUUUUUGCCAUCAACACACAAUACCCCAUAAUGACAAAGUGAAAACACGUUUUUAGGAAUUUUUGCAAAUUUAUUAAAUAUAAAAAAAAACUGAAAUUUAUCAUUUACCUAAGUAUUCAGACCCCUUAUUCAGUACUUUGUAAGACCGCCUUUAGCAGCGAUUACAGCUUAAUGUCUGGUGCAUAGAGGUGGACUGAACAUUUACUGAACAUAUACUGAACAUUUUCAAAACAAUUAAUAAUUGACUGUUUUAAGUUGUCCUUCUUUUUAAACUGUAGUAAUACAUGUUUUGGGAACUUCAUUAUCAGAACUAUGGAUUCCCCACCUGAGGAACUUGCAGAGUGUGAGGCAUCAGCCUCCUGAUCCUUAAGCUUCUUUGCAUUGGAAAUAUGAGAUAGAGUUGAAAAACAUGCAUUGCCUUUUCUUUGCCAGUUCACAACACACUUAAUUUUGCUGAACUUUUUAACAAUUAUGUUCUUUGCUUCCCUGCCAUAGUUUACAACAUUAAAAAAAUGGUGUCUAUAUAAACAUCAAUAUAUUUUUCAUAAGUUGCGUCUUUCUGUACAGUAACAUCUUUUAGCUUGAUUUGCAAAUGUUGAUGUGUCCUUGAACAACUUUUAUAAUUGCAAAUAAAAUGUCUUCUUGAUGUGGAAGAUCUUUUCUCUAUACUUUGUCAGUUUCCCCUUUUCUCAUUCAGUUUGAUCAAAGACAGGUUAAAAACAUCUCAGGGGGAAAUUCUUGUGGAUGUAAAUUAUAAACAUGGAUAUGUGCCUUGAUAUUCAUGCCUGGGAAAAGGAUAAGUGAGAUGGCAAUAUUUAAAUGACAAAUUUGCAAUGGAAAGACUUUUGAAGGUUUGAAGCAGUUGCCUUCAUUGUUUUCAGAGGCAGUGAAGACAUCUGUGAGGCUGCAGUAUCUGGGGCUGGCACUGGAGCCCCUGAAAUCCGAGCUGCGGGACGCAGGGUCCCCGGUUCCUGGUGAAGAUCACCUCCACUGCCGGCGCUCUCAGGAAUCUCUUCUAUAAAAGUCCACUGGAGUGAGCACAGGACGCUGUAAUCCCCUCUCUCUGGGCCCCCCGACGCCAGCCAGAUUAACCCAUUAAAACAGUUAUGCUAGACCCUGUGUUUAAUGACGGCCUUCCCAGCACUGUCCUGCAGUGGGGGGGCUGUUCUUCACCAAAGCCCUUUCCAAGCAUCGAAAAUAUGUCAAGCUUCUGUGUGUGUUUGCACACUCUCUGCAGUAUCAUACUGUAAGUGGAUUGUCCGCUAACAUACACAUUACGUGUAUUUAUGUUGUACUGGUACGGAUCUAUUUAUUAACCUAUUUUGUAUUGGGUGUGCAUGUUAGUAUAGAAUUGGGACACAUUAAUAAGCCACUUUUUCAAGUGAAUUUAUUUCACAUUCCAUAGGAUGUCACCAUCUCCCUCUCUUUCAGGUGUUUAGUAAAAUAAAUGAAACAUGCUCACCAACAUGUUCUCUUCAGCAAUUGUAUCCUCUCCACAUAAUUGCAAUAUAUCUUUCAGUAUAUGCAGUAUAUAUUUAAUGACAGCUUCAACACAUUAUCUCAAAAUGAAAGGCUGUUAUAGUGAGAUACUAUGUGGGUUAGAUAAGCAGCCUGAGGGUGACUAUUUUAUACAAAUGUUUUUAACAAGGAUAUAUCUUUUAACCUUACUGAGCUUACCCUUUUCCCCAUCCAUUUUAUAUUGUAAGCUUUACUUUGUAAAAUUUACUUUGCGUGUAAACUAAUUUGAAACUUUAUACAUUACAUAUUAGAACAUGUUAUAUUUAUAUCGUGAACUACAUUUAUUUGACACAGCUAGGAUCCACAGUGUAGUUUCCCUACUUCCCGAUGAAGUACAGCAUGCUGAAAGAGCUUCAAACUGAAAUCUCGAAGGGUGGGUUGUGGCGCCAUCUGCAGACAGCUGGAGCAGUAGGGGCGAGAGGUGCUGCAGCUCGGCUCUGACCCGCCUUGCCAUGCAGCAGUCAUCGUUGCCAGCAGAGGGCAUGCUUUGUGCGUAGAGGUUUUGUUGAAAGCGCGUCUAUUGACAGGUUAUAAACAUAUUUACUGUAUGGCGUGUAAAUAAUUCACACAUUUUGCUUUCUAAAGCCGACAACAGUUUCCUUCACUUACUCCAGCAGCUUGCAAGGCUACUUACCUAAAGCAGUACCGUGACGUUUGACUCUUAAGGCGCAUCGUAACUAUGGCGAACAGGUUUAAUCUGCGAAUUGUUACUUAUUAUCGUUUUGUGUUGUCACACGUUUUAGCGGCCGCGUCGUGAAUUAAACAGUAUUGUAAAUGAUCCCUCCGCCGCAGAGCUCUCUGCGCGCCCGUGUUCCCUCAGCACGGUGCGCAGCCUGGCUGUCCUGUGUGUCGGCAUCCCGUGUGCUGCAGGAGCCGCUGGCCGUGGUGCUGAAGGCAGCGCGUCUGCUGCAUGGGGAAUGUAGGUUUUGCUAAUUUCAAACACAUUUCAAUAAUUAGGGAGGAGAUUCUUUAGGAGUAAAUGUUAAAAAUGAGGAUCUCUUUGCAUUAAAAUAUUCUGACAGUGUUAUAGCUGGGCAUGUACUAGACUCCUGAAAACUGCCGAUUUGUCAACUUCUAAACCUCUUUAAGCUUCAAGGUUUAUAGUUCUGCACUGUUAUUUUUUUUUUUUUUUUUACAAUUUAAACAUCUGCAAUUUCAAGAAAUAAACAAUAGUUUUACGUUUUAGGGUCUGCACUGGAAUGCCAGUCCAAGCUCCUAUUUUAGAAAAAAAAUAUACCAGUAAAGCAUCAUGUGACUGAGACGCAUCCAGUCGGUUGAAGUUGGUUCUAUGGAAGUGGCACCACUUUCAGAAAGGCACAACGAAUGGGUUCUUUUUUAUAGUAGGAGCUUGAUGUAACACCAAGAUACGAUGAGGAACCACUGGUACAUUUCAAAGAAUCGACUGAUGAACAUUACUGCUGCCUCCACUUUCUUUUCAUGUAAAUCAUUAGCUAAAUUUUAGAUUAUUUCAUACUAAAAACAAGGAUAGUUUUUAGCUUUUCUGUUCUGCUUUUAAAAAAAAAGAGUCAAAAGGUUUGCACACAAGCACUGUGCUCAGAAGUGUUCCUGAAAUUUCUACCAUUUUCAAGGCUUUUUUUGAUUACCUACUGUAUUUAUUAAAACAACACCGUGUCCCCCGCAAAGUCUGUGAUGCUCUAUGUAUAGUGAACACAAAUCACAACAGAAACGUAUUGAAAUGUAAAAUUGCAUGUACUGUAAAUACCUGAGUUUUUACACAAUGCACAAAAAUGUGUUUUUUGGCAGCAAAAGACAGUACAAAAAAAGUUUUAAUAUCACAACCAGAAAUAUACCUUGUUUCAGUCUCUGUUGGUCAUUUGCAUCAUAUUUACAGACAAGAAACCAUGUACAGUUCUUAAACUUUUUUAGUGUCUUAUUUUGUGAUGUUUCAGGUCCUUUGAAAAAA